rnacentral:ncRNA from 1 species
UUCCAUAUGACUGGCGGAAGUGGGAGCACCCACAGGGAGUAUGGAGAAGUUGAUAGCCGACCGCCUGGGCACCU